CAGAAAUGGGAGUUCCUUGCAGCCCAAAGCAGAGAACUUCUUGCAAUGUUGUUUUGGACUGAAGGGAGCUCCUAGUUCUU
rnacentral:pre_miRNA from 1 species